AAUAACAUUAUUUUUUAGUUUUUAGAUAUAAUGUUUUGAUUCUUCGUCUUAUUUAAUUUUUUUGCGAUUAAUAUUUUUAUUAUUAUUAGAUGAUAAAAUAUGAAUAGUAUUUUAUGUGUGACUAAUUUUUUAAAGUUUUUUUACAUAUUUUUCAAAUAAGACAAAUGAUCAAAGUAUUAGGCAUAAAAAUCGAAAAAUGACGUUAUC
rnacentral:pre_miRNA from 1 species